rnacentral:ncRNA from 1 species
AAGGCGUAUCCGAAAAGCCUUAAAAAGAGUAGGAA